rnacentral:lncRNA from 1 species
CUUUACUUGGAUUAUAGGGGAAUAGGAUCAAAUCUUCAAAAUCUAGAUUCAAAUCCUCGUGUAGGCCUGAAACUAUAGGUCCUCUACUUUGCAUGCACGCCAAGCUCCAUAGAAAAGUGGGAUGAAGUCUCAGAUUGAAGCACCUUCGUAAGGCUACCAAGGGAGGAGAGAGAGCUGCUGGUGUGAUGCCUCACACCAGUAAGGAGGAUGCCCAAGAGAGGGGCCACAGC